CCGGAAAACCAUUGGUACUUGCCCCAGGUAGGAGGAGGAGCAGAGAACAGAAGGUUUCUGUGGAGCUGCGUUAAUCACCAAGGAGAGGCAGAUGGCUCCAAGCCCACAGAGUGUGACCCAGGUCUGCUGGAGUUUGCUCGAGGUCCACUCCAGACCCUGUUUGGGUAUCACCAGUGGAGGCUGCAGAACAGGAAAGAUUGCUGCCUGUUCCUUCCCCUGGAAGCUUCAUCCCAGAGGGGCACCCGCCAGAUGCCAGCCAGAGCUCUCCG
rnacentral:lncRNA from 10 species